AGUGUCAUUCUUCCACUUCCUCAGAAUGUGAAGGAUUAUUUACUCGACGAUGGAACUCUGGUGGUUUCAGGAAGGGAAGAUCCACCAACACAUUCUCAACCAGACAGUGAUGAUGAGGCAGAAGAAAUACAGUGGUCGGAUGAUGAGAACACGGCUACGCUUACGGAUACUUAUAGCAGGAUUUCCUGAAGUUGAAU